GCCGCCUGUGCCCGCCUGGGGCCCCCGCUGGUGCCCGGGGCCGACGCCGCCGCCCGGGCCCCUCCCGGAGCUGGGCCCUUGCUGCUUUGUGGCCGCCCGUACGGACCCGCCGCUGCCCUGAGCGCCCCUCCGAGCCCCGAAAGUUGGAGAUAAAGGGGAUUUUAAUAAAAAAAUAAAAAAAGGGCCUCGGCUGAGUGAGGGGGGAUAUGGGGCUGGAAGGGGCUGUGCUGGGGCUGUGUGCUCGGGGAGUUGUUGACAUGUAGGUGCCUUGUGUCAGUGCUCUGUUGGGAGAAGGGUAUUGCGUUACCUGAAGCGACUCAUCAGUUUGGAUUAUUAUUAUUUUUUUAUUAUUUAUCUAUGAUUUUGUUGUGAUUUGUCAGUUUGGUUUAUUAUUUUUAAAGAUUUAUUUGUGAUUUUGUUGUUUGAACCUGCAAGCCUGAAGGGGUGCUGCGGGGCUUGCGCAAACUAAUUGGUAUGUUGUGUUAUCUUCCUCAGUCUGGAAAUACACGAAGAGCCAUGAAGUACCAGUUCUUGUAGGAGUGAAGCUUGGUUACAUGCAGAAAAAGCAUUUAUUCAAGUGUCCUUAAACUCAUUUUUGAGCUUUUCUUUCAUAUUUGUUUAUAUAUAUAAUGUAUUUUUCUUCUUUGUGGAAAAAAACGACUUUAAUACUGGGAAUGAGGUGUAUUUUUCAUUUAUGUGAAACUUUAAUACUGGGAAUCUUACUGUUAUGUAUUUAAAGCAGAGCUAUAUGGGGUUUUACAUACAGUCAAGAGUUAUUUUAUACUGUUUCUUGUUACAGAUGUUUACAUUUAUUCUUGACGCGUUUCUUAUAAAUAAUGCACUGAUUAUAAGGGUAUUUUCCUCUUAAUUUCAGAGGAAUACUUCCUGUAUUAUCACCUCAAGAUAACCAUCAGGGGCAAAGCAUGCUUCUAAUAAGAUUUGCUAUAUUUGGCUAUAAAAUCGAUAUAGUGCCCAAAGUGGAACGCAGGUAUCUAAGAGUUGUUGCAUCUUGAAGCUGGUGGUAUCUCAAGCUUUUGAGGACGUACAGAAGAGUAAAGAGCUUUGUGUUCUCUUCCCAGUGGGUGCAUGUGUCGUGUUGGUCCUUUGUUACGUUUAGCAGCCUGUUUCAGUCGGUAAGUGAUGUAUUUGCCAGCACUUCAUUGGUUCCACAGCUUUUCCAUUUGUGUGUGCCACUAGAUGGUGCAUUUGCUCCAGCAUACCAGGUCUAGGGGGAUCGUUUUAGCAAGGCUGAAAUUGGUCUUUGGUGACAGAUUGCAUCUCCAUCCCUUCUAGAAAAUGAAGCAAUGAGGAUGUGUAGGAGCAAUGUCAAAGGAAGAUGGAAAUGAGAGUUCAGCUGCCCUUUGCAACUGUAGUGCUUUCUCCUGCUUGCACCCUCCCAGCAGCAGAGCACAGGUGAGCACAGAUAAAAGCCACCGUCCCACAGGCACAGAGUCAGGCAGGUCUCUUGCAGGGAUUUCAUGGUGUGAUUGCCACAGAGAGUGAAUCACCUUUUCUAGCUGGCUCCCUUCUCCAGAGGUUCCUUCAAUUGUCAGCAGAGAUGGUCUCUUCCAAGGAAUGUUUUGGAGCUUUUAGAUGAAGUUCUUUUUCUGAAUCACUUUUUAUAGGAGCACUUCUUCUCAUCGGUUAUUUACAAGUUCAAACCAAAAAGCUUUAGAGCCUGGGAAGACUUGCAGCCGGCAAAGAGAGGUGCUGGGAAUCCCCCUCAGUCUUGCUCAGACACUCACACACUUGUGCUGUGGCUGGAAUAGAAAACUGCAGUGCUGGCUGCAUUUAGACCAGGGAGAUUGCUCGGGGUUUGCAUGGCUUUUCUAGCAGCUCAGAAGUACUGGGGCCUCUCCUGUGUUUUGCAUCCCUCCAGCAGCAGAGGCUCUUACUGGUGAUCCUCUUUCUCUUGGGUUUGUGACUGAGUUUAGAAAACUUGACUUCUGCUUAUUUUUCUUCAAGUUUCUUCUUUGGUCAACAUUCUUAUAGGUUUUAUAAAUAAGC